rnacentral:rRNA from 1 species
UACGUAGGGUGCGAGCGUUAAUCGGAAUUACUGGGCGUAAAGCGUGCGCAGGCGGUUUUGUAAGCCAGAUGUGAAAUCCCCGGGCUCAACCUGGGAACUGCAUUUGUGACUGCAUGGCUAGAGUGCGGCAGAGGGGGAUGGAAUUCCGCGUGUAGCAGUGAAAUGCGUAGAUAUGCGGAGGAACACCGAUGGCGAAGGCAAUCCCCUGGGCCUGCACUGACGCUCAUGCACGAAAGCGUGGGGAGCAAACAGG